rnacentral:rRNA from 1 species
UUGAUCCCGCCGGACCUGACUGCUAUCGGAUUGAUACUAAGCCAUGCGAGUCUUUGUAGUAAUACAAGGCAGACGGCUCAGUAACACGUAGUCAACCUACCCUAUGGACGAGAAUAAUCUUGGGAAACUGAGCAUAAUUCUUGAUAGAUCAUAAUGCCUGGAAUGGUUUAUGGUUAAAAUGAUUCGUCGCCAUAGGGUGGGACUGCGGCCUAUCAGCUUGUUGGUGAGGUAAUGGCCCACCAAGGCGAUUACAGGUACGGGCUCUGAGAGGAGAAGCCCGGAGAUGGGUACUGAGACACGGACCCAGGCCCUAUGGGGCGCAGCAGGCGAGAAAACUUUGCAAUGUGCGAAAGCACGACAAGGUUAAUCCGAGUGAUUUCUGCUAAAGAAAUCUUUUGCCAGUCGUAAAACCGCUGGUGAAUAAGGGGUGGGCAAGUUCUGGUGCCAGCAGCCGCGGUAAU